UACGGAAGCCCGAAGGACUGGGCAAAGGAUUUCCUGAGCUAAGAGCUGACUGGGGUUCCGGUGAUAGAUACUGGGACUUUGUGCCAUUGGCUGUCCUGGUUCUCAGGCCUUGGACUCUGACUGUAUUACACCAUCAGCUUUCCUGAGCCUCCAGUUUACAGAUGACAGAUCGUGUGACUCCAUAAUCCUCCAUAAUCAUGUGAGACAACUCUUCAUGAUAUACAUACAAAUAAUUCUUUCUCUGGAGAAAUCUGACAAAUACAAAUAUCUAUUAUUAAUAUCCAAAGAUAGCCUUGAACCUUUUUUUCCAAAUAAUGGAGCCAUUUCGUUUUAUUUUUAAGUAUUUGGUAGGAGAUGUUCAGAUUAUAGCUUUCCUUUUUUUUUUUUUUUUGACAGGCAGAGCUAGACUGUGAGAGAGAGAGACAGAGAAAAAGGUCUUCCUUUUCUGUUGGUUCACCCCGCAAAUGGCCGCUACGGGUGGCACGCUGUGCCGAUCUGAAGCCAGGAGCAAGGUGCUUUCUCCUGGUCUCCCUUGCAGGUGCAGGGCCCAAACACUUGGGUCCUCCUCCACUGCCUUCCUGGGCCACAGCAGAGAGCUGGACUGGAAGAGGAGCAACCGGGACAGAAUCUAGUGCCCCGACUGGGACUAGAACCCGGGGUGCCGGCGCUGCAGGCGGAGGAUUAACCAAGUGAGCUGCGGCGCUGGUCAAGAUGUUCGAUUAUAGCUUUCCUACAUAUAAAGGUAGUUAGCUAUGUUCUAUACAAAGCCACCCUAAAGUGACUCAGAAAAGAGUAAGCAAAAGUAAUGGAAAGUAUGGUUAUAUCAGCCAAAAACCCAUCCCUGUUAUUAAAGGAAUAGUUCAAACCAUAAGCCGUGCUAACAGUUGGUACAUCGUCGUUAAUACAAAUAGUCUUUGUUUGAAAGGAUUCUACCACCUUCUCUCUUUUUCAUUUCACAGACCAAUUACAUUUAUUUGACAAUAAAAACAUUGUCAGUCUAAUCCACUUGAGGGUGCUAUAAGAUUAUUGUGAUACAAAAUUUUAGCCCCUUUACCAGAAAACCUGCUAACUAAACAAGGAUUCAGGGAUGAAUUAUACUGACCUAUCAAAUAGAGUCAUUUUAAGUUAAAUGUGUCUCUAAACUUUCUCCAAUUUUUAGUGACUGGUAAAUGUUUUGAAGCCAUUAAUUUAAUGUAAAUCACCUCAUAUCUCAUUGCCUAGGGUUGAUUAUCUUAGUAACUUGUAGUUACUUUUUAAAAAGAAAGAUUACUGAUUUCAGUUCCAGCCUAGGCUGAUUAGUUCUGAAAAGACCCAGAGGUAUCAGCCUCUGGUGAGCAAGCAGCAUGGUGGUGCAUUUUAUAAUCCAUGUAUGAUGUAUGUGGCAUUCCUGGAGAUGUGCAGUGCUUGACCAAAUGUAGUGACCAUCUGCAGUACUAGAUUCAGCCAGAUUUCUUGUAUGUUUGUCUUUGUUUACAAAAAGGACUGAGAAAUAGAAUGAAGAUAUUCUAGAAUAAAUAUAUGAUGAUUGUUCUGGAAAACAAGGAGUUGAAAGAUGUGUGUAGUACUAAUAGUUUAAUGUGCUUAUUUUCAGGUACUUGAUCUUGACUGUUGAUAAGGGUACACAUAUUCACACACACACAUACACUAUACAUACACAUACACACUUUUUGAAUUCUCAUUGUGUGCCAAUUUCACAGGAUACAAUUCCAGAGAAAAUGUCAGGAUUAUAACCAAGAAAAUUUGCAAGUUUAAUACUAUAUAAAUAGUAUUCUUUGUCUAAACAUUCUAGAUUGCCUUUUUUUAAAUUAAGAUUUAUUUAAUUUAUUUGAAAGAGUUACACAGAGAGAGAAGGAGAGGCAGAGAGAGAGAAAGAGAGAGAAGUCUUUCAUCCGCUGGUUCACUCCCCAGAUGGCUGCAAUGGCUGGAGCUGCGCCAGUCCAAAGCCAGGAGCAAGGAGCCUCUUCCAGGUCUCCCAUGUGGGUGCAGGAGCCCAAAGACUUGGGCUAUCUUCUACUGCUUUCCCAGGCCAUAGCAGAGAACUGGAUGGGAAGUGGAGCAGCUGGGACUUGAACUGGCACCUAUAUGGGAUACUGGCACUGCAGGCGGUGGCUUUACCUGCUAUGCCACAGUGCCGGCCCCUCUAGAUUGCUUUAAUACUCAUUUUAAAUGCAACCUAGACAUUUCUGUAAAAUAAGAGUAAUUGAUCAGUUUUCAAUUAUUAAAGUAAUUUUAUAUUUUAUUUGACCCCAGCACUAAAGGAGAACUUCAGGGAGUAGACAUGUAUUAAUUUCCUUGAUGGGGGGCCAGCACUGUGGCACAGCGGGUUAAAGCCCUGGCCUGAAGCGCUGGCAUCCCACAUGGGCGCCGGUUCUGUUCCUGGCUGUUCCUCUUCCGAUCUAGCUCUCUGCUAUGGCCUGGGAAAGCAGUGGAAGAUGGCCCAAGUCCUUGGGCCACUGCAUCCACGUGGGAGACCUGGAAGAAGCUCCUGGCUCCUGGCUUCGGAUCAGGGCAGCUCUGGCUGUUGUGGCCAUCUGGGGAGUAAAUUAUUGGAUGGAAGAUCUCUCUCUGUACCUCUCUAUGUAACUCUGUCUUUCAAAUAAAUAAGAUAAAUCUAAAAAAAAAAUUCCUUGAUGGAAUCCAUUGGAAGAUCUGAUACAUCAGGGAAAGGAUUUACUUUACCCUGAUCAUUUUACUUAUUUUUUUUAAACAAGAUUUAUUUAUUUGACAGAGAAAGAGAGAGAGAGCGAGCGAGCUGUGUUCUGUCUGCUGGUUCCAAAGUCUCACAACAGCUAGGGCUGGGUCAGGUGGAAGCAGAGUCAGAAACUCCAUUUGGGUCUUGCAUAUGAUUGGCAGCAACCCAAGUACUUGGAUUUUCAUCUCCUGCCUCCCAUGUGGAUUAGCAGGAAGCCAGAUCAGAAGUAGAGGUUGGACUUCAUGCCAGAUACUCAGAUAUAGGAUCUGGACAUUCCAAGUGGCAGCUUAAGCUGUUGCAUUACAAUUCCUGUCCCUAUCCUAGUCACUUUCUAUAUGGCAUUUGAUUGUCUGUAUACACAGAGUAGUCUAAUUAUCAAAUGAAUGAAUGAAUUCAUUUAACAAAUUUCUAGUGAGUUAGAUGCUGUUUAUUUAUUUUUUUAAAAGAUUUAUUUGAGAGUCAGAGGUACACAGAGAGAGAAAGGUCUUUUAUCCUAUGGUUCACUCCCCAGUUGGCUGCAAUGGCCAGAGCUACACUGAUCUGAAGCCGGGAUCCAGGAGCUUCUUCUGGGUCUCCCACAUGGGUACAGGGGCCCAAGGACUUGGGCCAUCUUCUACUGCUUUCUUAGGCCAUAACAGAGAGCUGGAUUGGAAAUGGAGCAGCCAGGUCUCAAACCGGUGCCCAUAUGGGAUGCCGGUGCUUCAAGCUAGGGUGUUAACCAACUAUGCCACAGUGCCAGCACCUAGAUGCUGUUUAAAAGGAUAGAGAUGGGGCCGGCGCUGUGGCGCAGUGGGUUAAUGCCCUGGUCUGAAGUGCCAGCAUCCCAUAUGGGCGCUGGUUGAAGUCCCGGCUGCUUCACUUCUGAUCCAGCUCUCUGCUAUGGCCUGGAAAAGCAGUGGAGGAUGGCCCAAGUCCUUUGGCCCCUGCACCCACGUGGGAGACCCGGAAGAAACUCCUAUCUCCUGGCUUUGGAUCGGGGCAGCUCUGUCCGUUUUGGCCAAUUGGGGAGUGAACCAAAGGAUGGAAGAUCACUCUCUCUCUCGGUCUCUCCUCUCUUUGUAUAACUCUGACUUUCAAAUAAAUAAAUAAAUAAAUAUUAAAAAAAAAUAAAAGGAUAGGGAUAUAAUAGUGGAAAAAGACACCAAGAUCCUUGCUUUUUUGAGCUUACAUCCCCAAGGGAGACAGAUAAUGAGCAACAAACAUAAUAAGUAAAUGAUGAAGUAUAUUUUUUUCUGAUAGAUAGAGAAGUAAAUCAAGGCAAGGGACAAUGGAAGUGUAGGAUGAAUGUAACAGUUUUUUUAAGGGAAAGUCUCAUUUCAAAGGUGACAUUUAAGCAAAGAUUUGAAGGAGAUGAAGAGUUAGUCAUUCUAAUUAUUUGAGAGAGAAGAAUUCCAGGCAGGGUGCAUAGUCAGUCUAGAGAUCCCAAGUUAGAUGAUGUAUCUGAAAAGUAGGAAGUAAGUACGGCAGUGAUAGAGUGAACACAGAGACAUAGGACUUUUAAAAAAACAUUUAAUAUUUAUUUCUUUAUCUUUUGAAAGGCAAGGAGAGAAAGAGAGAGAGAGAGAGAGAGAGAGAGAGAGAGAGAGAGAGAUAUCCCAUCCAUGGUUUACACUCCAAA